GACGUAUAAGAAAAACGUAUAAUUACGCAAUCAACUACGACAUAUCGUUGGUUAUGUAACAAGUGUCGUUGAAGUGCAACAGGUAUCAUAUGUACGCCGGUAUUACGUGUAACUUCCCGCGGAUGCAAAUCCUCAACACGAGAAACGUCAUAUGGUCGUGAGACUUAUGUAAAAUGCCACUCAUUGCUGAUAUAAUAGCGGAAACGGGGUUCUUAUACGAAGUAGCAUAGAACGAUCGUAGAAUGCUUUUGGAGAGACUAGUUAACAUUGGCAGCAGGCACGUGAGAAACGAGAAUUACGUUAUAGGUUUUACGACUGGUUGCCUGGAAAGUGAGACACGAGGUCAUCGUAUGAAUCGGGAAACCAAUGGUUCAGAAACGUUGUCAGGCGAAAGAAAUGAGUAAGAUUGUUGAACUGUGCAAGUAAUAGGGAAAGAAAUGAUUGCUAACUAUGUAACUAGAUGUUGUAUGAAAUUACAUUUACUUAUACUUUCCAAGCGAGACUGUUACGUAAACUUUCGAGAAAGGUAUUUACAAAAAGUAUUACAGGUAGUGAAGUAUUAAUGUGAGUACAAAUCAACCGAGUAUAUCAUGAGGCGCGUUAUUACCUAUUUUACAUAAUGUACACGUUAUAAAAUCGCUGGUUAUUUAAAUCAAUAUGUUAACGAUCGAAGAAUAACAAACAUACUCAGUAUCAACAUUCCAUUUCGUUUAAAUUCUCGACAUUGUGCAUAUUUACAGUAUCAAGAGUACGUAUACUUUAACAAAUAUACGUUCAAUGACAAAAAUGCCAAAUAUGAAAUAUUUUUUUAGCAAGUACGAUUGUUCAAA
rnacentral:misc_RNA from 1 species